UGUGACCGUAGGUCAAGAUAUAUCAUCAACGCCCCAAGAGCCCAUUUCACUCGAUGCGGCUAACGACGCUAGACGUUCAGGAGGAUCGACUAUCUUUUUUCCGCACUUUCAAAGUUGGAAUAAUUUUUACCCUUGGCUUAAAUCUGGCUGGAUGUGAUGAUCCAAAUGUAGUUGUUUUCGAAGAACUGAUAUAAAGGCAGCGACAUGGAUCUGUGGAUUAUUGGACGAGAUAAACAAAAUUGUGAAAUUGCCUUUUUUGAAUACGGAAUGAUUUGAUAUGUAAGUACUGCAUUGAGGGAGACGAAGGCAGCCGUUCACAGAGUUCAAUAAUUACAUCUGGCAGAUGCGUUUUUCGCUCGUCAAGCCGUAUUUAAAAUGUGACUUAGGCCAGGUAGUUUUUCAGUUUCGGCCACCACCACUUAAAAGGAAAGUGUGUAUUGACCUAAAAAAGGUAUUUAACAGUAAGAAAACGGCACGUGUUAGUCUUACCCCUCGCGGGUGGACUACGAAACGGUAUGAGGAUUUUACCAUAGCUGUAUCUAAAAGGCUCCUCGUUAAUAUAUAUUUUUUGAAAAAUUCACAGUAUUGGUUACAAAACGAGGGAUUUCAUCGGAUUCUUGCGUAUCUUGAUGCGAAGUUAAUUCGUUUUUUCUCCAAAGCUCACCGAGAUAAUUUCUCUGCGGAAAACGCCGUUUUCAAACUACUUCAAGGUGAGGUGGUUUUCUCACCGACUAAUUCCGGAUUAAAACUUCGAGAAUUGGUACGUCUUUUUGUGAAGUCUCCUUUGAACCAUAUACUUCUUGCUGUGCAAGACUAUUUCUCUGAUUUUUCUGCAGAAACUGGUAUUUUCGUGCGAAUUAAACUAUGGCAUGAUUUUGAACUCGAAAAUUUGUGUCGAGGAUUUUACUUCAGUCAACAGAUCCCCAGCAGAAAGAAACCGAUAAACGCCUGUAUUCGUUUUUUUAAUAAUGACUCUUUGAAGGGCACGAUAAACAGCUCAGGAUUCAGUUUGACCUGGCUGCUUUCAGAACACUUUAUAAAAUUUUGUGAAUAUUUUUCAGAUCACCAAGCUGAAUAUUUCUUCAAAGUCUCGGACCUGACUCCUAGGCAAUUGAAUUCAUUGCGCAGUCGCUAUACUGUCAUCUCAAGCGAACAAUCUCAAGAUGAUACCUAAACGAAUUAAAGUCCAAUCUGCUACGUUUGACGUAGACUUUUGUAAUUUUUUCUCAAGUUUCUCCAUAGAAUGUUCUGGUGGUGCAAUUAAAACAGACAGUUUAGAUUUGAUGGUACCAUUGCAGACACUCACCAGUUCCUACUCUCUGUUUUCACCCGCUUUUAGUUCACGUUUUGUAGAUACUGUUGCAAAAUAUACAGGACUGCGCAUUACUUUGAGUGUUGGUAAAACCGACUUACCCGAGGAUGUAAAGUAUUAUCUAGGAGACGAUGCAUCUAACUCAUCGUUAGAUGUUAUUUACAUCACAUGUUUUUUGAAGGAAGAUCUUCUUGACUUAACGAUGGCAUUUGUUCCGGCUGUGUGCUCUGGACUGGUGAAUCAACCAGACUUACAUUUUAACAGCAUACUGGCUAAAUUUGCACACCAAUUACUCAAAACACCUGCUCCAGCUAAGGUUUUUUCAACAAAAGAGUCUACAAGUGGUGUCUUUCUUGAUCUUGUGCAAUUCAGUAUGGACGCUUAUAACGCUGUCGCUACCUCAGCAAAUUCAAACACAGAUGAACGUCCAGCCCAAGACUGUUUUAGGUGGUUAAGAGCGGUGUUAAACUUUUUGGAUUCAGAGGCGGUGAAAUUCUCAUGUGCGGCCACGGGAUUCGCGUUUAGAGUUUUACCGCAUGCUGUGAGUUCGGACGCAGUGGAAUAUAUUUUCUCUGCUAAAACUUGGGACCGGGCUUGUUUUUAUCUACUGACCGUAAAGGAUAUUGCUAGUUUAGUCCUGGAAACCGAUUCCCCCGCCCAAUUGUGCUUUGCGAGUAUGGGUAAAUCCUUGUCGCCAGUCGCGGACCGAUUAAGUCUUGAUAGUCGCUGUGCAACACCGGUGAAGGAAGAACACGAUAUUUCAACGAUCGAGAAUCCACUGUUGAAACUCCAGACUGAACUAAAGGCCCUGUCAACAGCCGAAGAGCCGAAACAACACAUUAAGCGUACUAACAACAACGGAGGUUACUUGUUGAACGAGGGCUCGAGUCAAACUGCAGAGAUUCCACUUCCAGAGGUUGUCUCGAAUGACGUCUUAGAGGAAAUCCUUGCAGAGCAAACCAGGCCGAUGAUGUGUCUGUCACCCAUAGCAAAAACAACUGUUUUGCAUCGGGAAGAAGAGGAUAAUUAUGAGCCAGCACCCUUAUCAGGGGAUUAUAGAAAGGACUAACAUCGAGUGUGACGGCUCUCGAUAUAUUAUCUCUUCUUCUUCCCGAUGCAAGAUCAAACCAACCGAGCUAAAUUUCGAUCGAGACACUUUACAAUUUAUUGGACAAUAUUUAGUCCAGUCUCAGAAGCGUUUUGCUUAUUUUUCAAGCUUCCUAAGAUACAUGUACAUACUGUUUCUGUUUUAUUUGCUUGAUGUUCACUUUCCUUCUCCAAUUGUUCAUGCACAAUGUAGUUUUUCAUUUUGAGCGCAAAAUAGAAGACACAUGUACCUUUAUAGAUAAUGCUAUAUUCUUUGUCUCAAAAAGAAUUAAUAAAGACCUUUGUUUUGUGUGCUG